AUUAUGGUGGGGGGCGUUGAACUACCACCCACAAUUGGUCACUGGGGUGGUGGUGAGCCAAUAGUGAAACCGACCCAUUGAGGU
rnacentral:ncRNA from 2 species